GACGAACGCUGGCGGCGCGCUUAACACAUGCCAGUCGAACGGAGGUGAGAGAAGCUUGCUUUUCUUAGCUUAGUGGCGAACGGGUGAGUCACGCGAGAGUAACCUGCACUGGGGGGGGGGACAACAGAUGGAAACGAAUUAUAACACAGCAUCAGCGCAUGAUACGGGAUGGGCGUGAGGGAUAGGAGUUUGUUAGCUUCAGGAUGGGCUCGCGUCAGAUUAGCUGGUGGGUGAUGUCAAAGCCCACCAAGGCGAGGAGUGGUAGCCGGACGGAGAGACUGCGCCGCCACAUUUGGGCUAAGACACAGCCCGGACUCCUACGGAAUGCAGCGGUGGGUGAUAUAGCACAAUGGGGGAAGCCCUGAUGCAGCGACGCCGCGUAGAGGAAGAAGUUUGUCGGAUUGUAAUCUCGUGUCGUAAGAGGCGAGAAUGACGGUACCGGACAAAAAAGCACCGGCUAACUACGUG
rnacentral:rRNA from 1 species